UCAUCUCAUUCCUAAUUCAUCUUGAUCCCUUCAGUGGCUUAUUCUUGCAUUAGCAAUGUAAAACUGGCCCCAAUGGGUUUUAAAUGGUCAGAACUUGCUCUUGACCAGUUCAAAUCUUUUCUCACAAGGGAAAAUCAGUUCUGACCACUUCAAAUCUAUUUUGACCAGUUUAAACUAAUUCUGCCGAGCUGGAGCCUGAGGUCGGUAAACCCAGGAAGAUGGCUGAAGACGAUGCUGAUUUGAGCCACAGCAAGGAAUCAGAUUCAUUUCCUACUUCAUCCUGGACCUGUGGCCACCAGAAGCCCUGAGAUAUGGUAUGCAGCAUUAUAAACUGUGGUGACUAAAGGUGGGGGAUGGACGAUGGGGGGGAUCAUGUCAGAAAUAUAGGUGAUAGGUGGGGUCCAUUGUGGGUAUCACAAUCUGUCUUUCAACCAAAAACAUCUUGAAAUGAUUUUAUUGCAAGGCAAGCCUGGAUUACCUCACCUGGAUUUAUCACCCUCCCCGAAAACAGCAGGAUCAGGUACAGGAGCAACAGGAAGGGCAAUGAUGUAGACCUUCAUGAAUGUGGAGGUCCUGAUUCUGCCAUUAAUAAGUGAGGGGGAUGGGAGCCAGGUCAGGCAGUAGAGCCUGAGCUUGAAAAAUUAAAUUUCAAUAUAUUUUUGGCCAUAAUUGCCCCAUUAGGGAGCUAUGUCCUAUAUUCAGAUUUGUGGUCUUGGAAACAUGGCCUUUUUGAUAGGACCAUUUGACUAAUAGAUGCAAGUAUGUGAUGGUUACAGUGUACCCAUAUUGCAGCAAGGCGUGUUACAAAGAUUUUUAUUUUUAUGACAUCCUGGUGAACAAGAUGUAGCAAACAAGAGCUGGAACAUUGUUCCUUUAGUUGGAUUCUGAAAUAGUUUUUUUUUAAGUACUACUAUUUUUUGAGCACUUACUGUGUGCCAGACAUUGUGCUAAUAAGUACUUUGUAUGCAUUAAUCUUUUAAUCCUCACAAUAGCCUUAUGAGCUAUGUGUUAUUAGCUCUAUCAUACAGAUGAGGAAACCAUUUACAAAGGGUGCUAAUUAUUGAUUCUAUGUUCCUCUGGAUCCAGAAUUCUUAAGAAGUAUGUGUGUGUGGUGGGGGGGAGUAAGGUGGGGUGAGGGCACAUUCUCUGAGGGGUUUAUCAGAAUCGCCUGAAUGAGGGUUUUUCCAAACCAUAUAGGCCUUUCCCCCCAUUAAAGUACUCCCUUUUAGAAGGCCUGCCUCUCCUUGAGUAUCUCUGAUGUUUUAUGAGCUAAUGUGAUUGAUGUAAAUAGGUAGUAGGAAUGGCUCUCAGGUAUGUAGAAGGCAGGAAAAAGGUUGAGCUUCACUAUUGCAAAGAGAGAUCUUUGGUGGUGAGCUGUAGGGCUCUGUACCUGGCUCUGUACAUUCAACAUUUUAAUUAAUGACUUGGAUGGAGAUGUAGAAAAGUAUGCUCAUUAAACAUUAAGAGAACUGGAGCAGGAGGGAAAGUAUAUGUAUUGGAUGACAGAACCAAGAAUCCAAAAAGAAUUUAGUAGACUGAAAAGGCAGUUCAAAAACCACAAAAUUAAUUUGAUAAGAAUGUAUAACAUCUUGCAUAAUUUUCAUAAAAUUUAAAAAAUAUUAGCAAUUCUAAAGAAUGGAUAUAUGUUACAUAUGGCUGCCAAGAAGUUAAUGGAAACACAGGCUCCAAAAGGAGGUGAUUAUCCCACUCUUUCCUGAGUUUGUAGAACUACACCUCAAGUAUUGUGCUUAGUGCCAAAAAGUUAAUGGAAACACAGGCUCCAAAAGGAGGUGAUUAUCCCACUCUUUCCUGAGUUUGUAGAACUACACCUCAAGUAUUGUGCUUAGUUAG